rnacentral:rRNA from 1 species
ACCCGCUGAACUUAAGCAUAUCAAUAAGCGGAGGAAAAGAAACUAACAAGGAUUCCCCUAGUAACUGCGAGUGAAGCGGGAAAAGCUCAAAUUUAAAAUCUGGUGGCCUUUGGUCAUCCGAGUUGUAAUUUAGAGAAGCGUCUUCCGCGCUGAACCGUGCACAAGUCUCCUGGAAUGGAGCGUCAUAGAGGGUGAGAAUCCCGUCUUUGGCACGGAACAUCAGGGCUUCUGUGAUGCGCUCUCGACGAGUCGAGUUGUUUGGGAAUGCAGCUCAAAAUGGGUGGUGAACUCCAUCUAAAGCUAAAUAUUGGCGAGAGACCGAUAGCGAACAAGUACCGUGAGGGAAAGAUGAAAAGCACUUUGGAAAGAGAGUGAAACAGUACGUGAAAUUGUUGAAAGGGAAACGCUUGAAGUCAGUCGCGUCGACCGAGACUCAGCCUUGCCUUGGCUUGGUGUACUUCUCGGCUGACGGGUCAGCAUCAAUUUUGAUCCUCGGAUAAUGGCAAGGGAAAGGUAGCACCUUUUUAGGUGUGUUAUAGUCCUUUGUCGCAUAUGGGGGUUGGGAUUGA